rnacentral:rRNA from 1 species
UGGCAGGUCAGCAUACUGCCGUGAAUACGUUCCCGGGCCUUGUACACACCGCCCGUCACACCAUGAGAGUUGGGAAUACCCGAAGCCUGUGAGCUAACUGUAAGGAGGCAGCAGUCGAAGGUAGAAUCAAUGAUUGGGGUGAAGUCGUAACAAGGUACC